UCUAACAUACAUCCUCUAUCCCCAAACCCAAGCCCAUAGGCAAUUAGGAAGAAUUGUAUACAAUUGGCUGGGAAGAGGAGUUGAACACUCAGGUGUGCAUCCCAUGAUCCUCUCUGUUCUUUCCUUUUGAGAUGGAAAGUAGUCAGGCCUGUCUGUGAUGAGUUUGAGAGCAGGCCCAGCCGAGCUCUUGAAGAGUUCCAGAGGAUUGUAAAACAAGGUCUUACCUGGGUAAUCUGAGAUCAUCUCCUUAUCUCAAAAACACUUAAUUAUAUUACAUCAAAAAGACUUUUAUUUCAAAUACACUAACAUUUCAGGUUCCAAGGAUUAAGCCUUCAUAUCUUGGUGGCAGAUCAGGGUGGGGAUUUUUUUAGCCUACCUUAGGAAUUUAGCUUAAGGCUGUUUGUUACUAAAUCAAGGUUCUUGACCUCUUCUGAGAAAGUGGGGUGGAGGAUACUGAGAAUAGAAAAAAAGAAAAUGCUCAGAUUUUAUCAGGAGUUUCUGCAGGUUCCUAUGAUCCUCUACAAUCUGUCUGUAAAUACAACAGAUUAAACAUGCCAGUAUAGUAAAUACUUUCCAAUCUGGGAACACUGGACCACGUAAUCUGUUCACACUUCCUUCUUUGCUCUCCCCUUCUCAUGGAUUCCUAACCUGAAACAGGUUUUCCCUUCUACUCUGGUUGUUUGAUCAAGUGUCUUAUGUUGGCCAAUAGACGAAAAGCAGAAGUGACAUCACAUCAAUUUGAUAUUGAGGCCUUCAUGGCGUGACAGGCUUGUCCUGAUUGUCUUGAGGCUCCCCUGUCUAUCAUGGAAAGACCUUAUUUCAGGUACUUAUCAACUCUGUUUAUUGUCAGCCUGGAGGGAAGACUGCGGAACAAACUUGAGCUUCUCCCAAAGCUGGGGGCGUCCAGAAGGCCCAGACAACUCCUAAUGAAGCAAGUUUACCUGAAUGUUUAUGAGCAUGAAGUAAUUUUUCAUAGUUGUGCUUCAAUGAGAUUUGGGGGAUGUUUGUUGGGUAGCAGUGACACAAGAGCUGAAGAAUGCAUUGUGCUGUAUUUGCAUAUCUGCCUGCUUUGCAGCUCUAGAAAGUUGUACUGGAUAAUGUAUAGAGAACCUCCAAGUGCCCAUUAUUAUGUUCUCAUAAAAUCCUGGACUGCCAGUGAAUAUGCCAGCUCCUUAUUUCUUUUAUCUUGAUGGUCCUAGAACAUGUUUCUAGAGGCUUCUCUAAGCCAAUUUCACUAGACCUUACCAAUAUGUAAAAUCAUAAUCAGCCAGAUAGCUCCUAUCGAUAAGAUAAGCCAGAUAAGCGACAUCAAAUUGCUUAUAAAUUCAAAAACAAAAUAGGCUAAAUGAAACAGUUCCCUCUGUCAUUUAAAAGGGAACCUUAAUUUUGUGACAGCCAGGGAUAGAGGAAGUGAGAGAUGCCUGGAUUUUUUUCCCCUAGGAUCGGGAGGAAACCUCUUUUAAUAUUUUGGCUGUUGCUGAUUUCAGGAACUUACUAAAAUGCUGUAAAGGUCCAGAGAAUUCGAUGGUUCAAAUCUCAGGAUCAGCAGUUGGAAAACAUGCAACAAUCAUGCUGCCCUCAGCAACGGACACUGUGGGCAGAGCUUUGCUUCCAUUCAAUGAUGGGGCCAGGAAGAAAGAAGCUUAAAGUUGGCAGACAUCUGUUUCUUUCUGAAGCUCAAGGAUUUCUAGCUUUAUUAGGAGCAAUUCCUCCCUCCUUCCUGCUUCAUGGGUAGACAUCAUAUCCAAUAACUGCUAAUUUUUGUUGACUUAGUUGACUCUCAGCUUUGUACACAGGAGUUUUGCAUAAAACCCUACGUUGCAUAUUUAAAAA